rnacentral:rRNA from 1 species
CUACGGGAGGCACCAGUGGGGAAUAUUGCACAAUGGAGGAAACUCUGAUGCAGCAACGCCGCGUGGAGGAUGACACUUUUCGGAGCGUAAACUCCUUUUAUAUAGGAAGAAGAUGACGGUACUAUAUGAAUAAGCGCCGGCUAACUCCGUGCCAGCAGCCGCGGUAAUACGGAGGGCGCAAGCAGUUACUCGGAAUCACUGGGCGUAAAGAGCGUGUAGGCGGAUUAAAAAGUCAGAAGUGAAAUCCUAUAGCUUAUCUAUAGAACUGCUUCUGAAACUCUUAAUCUAGAAUAUGGGAGAGGUAGAUGGAAUUUCUGGUGUAGGGGUAAAAUCCGUAGAGAUCAGAAGGAAUACCGAUUGCGAAGGCGAUCUACUAGAACAUUAUUGACGCUGAGACGCGAAAGCGUGGGGAGCAAACAGGAUUAGAUACCCUCGUAGUC